UAACUUUCAACAACGGAUCUCUUGGCUCUCGCAUCGAUGAAGAACGCAGCGAAAUGCGAUAAGUAAUGUGAAUUGCAGAAUUCAGUGAAUCAUCGAAUCUUUGAACGCACCUUGCGCUCUCUGGUAUUCCGGAGAGCAUGCCUGUUUGAGUAUCAU
rnacentral:rRNA from 2 species